AUGCUGAGUAGACAGGGUCUGGAACAACCUACUGACUGUAUCUCUGUCGGUCUGUCUUCAACUCGUGGUAGACAGGUCUGGAACAACCUUCUGACCUGUAUCUCUUGUCUGUCUUCACUGCUGAGUAGACAGGGUCUGGAACGACCUUCUGACCUGUAUCUCUGUCUGUCUUCACUGCUGAGUAGACCGGGUCUGGAACGACUUUCUCUGAAAGAAACACGUCAACAGUUUACAACUAGUGACAUGUUAAAACACUAAAAACAUAUUAGUUACUCCAGAAAGAUGAGGGGAGUAUUGUUGGUCUCUCCCUUCUUCCUACCUCUCCUCCUGUUGUGUUGUCUCUUCUCUGUGUGGUUGAUGUCAGCAUAGGUCACAUCACCUGGACCAGAUCCACCUGGAACUAAACACAGGAGAGAGAGAGAGGAUAUUAACACAGACUGGACCAUAUCCACCUGGAACUAAACACAGGAGAGAGAGAGAGGAUAUUAACACAGACUGGACCACAGGUGGAAUUUGUCCAGGCUCUGUUUAAGCUAUC
rnacentral:lncRNA from 1 species